rnacentral:rRNA from 1 species
GACGAACGCUGGCGGCGUGCCUAAUACAUGCAAGUCGAACGAACCGCGACUAGGUGCUUGCACUUGGUCAAGGUGAGUGGCGAACGGGUGAGUAACACGUGGGUAACCUACCUCAUAGCGGGGGAUAACAGUCGGAAACGACUGCUAAUACCGCAUAGGACAUGGGAUCACAUGAUUCUGUGAGGAAAGGUGGCGCAAGCUAUCGCUAAGAGAUGGACCCGCGGUGCAUUAGCUAGUUGGUAGGGUAACGGCCUACCAAGGCGAUGAUGCAUAGCCGACCUGAGAGGGUGAUCGGCCACAUUGGGACUGAGACACGGCCCAAACUCCUACGGGAGGCAGCAGUAGGGAAUCUUCCGCAAUGGACGCAAGUCUGACGGAGCAACGCCGCGUGAGUGAAGAAGGUCUUCGGAUCGUAAAGCUCUGUUGUUAGAGAAGAACAGCGCAUAGAGUAACUGUUAUGCGUGUGACGGUAUCUAACCAGAAAGCCACGGCUAACUACGUG